rnacentral:tRNA from 1 species
ACAGGUAUAACUCAGUGGUAGAGCGCGUGCUUGGAAUGCACAAGGCCAUGGGUUCAAACCCCAGUGUCUCCA